rnacentral:rRNA from 1 species
ACGCUCGACACCUACGGAGGCAGCAGUGGGGGAUAUUGCACAAUGGGCGCAAGCCUGAUGCAGUGACGCCGCGUGAGGGAAGACGGUCUUCGGAUUGUAAACCUCUGUCUUCGGGGACGAUAAUGACGGUACCCGAGGAGGAAGCCACGGCUAACUACGUGUCAGCAGCCGCGGUAAUCUGAGCGGGCUGGCAAGGC